rnacentral:tRNA from 1 species
GGCUUUAUAGUCAAUAAUUAUGAUAUUAGAUUGCAAAUCUAAAGUAACAAGAAUUGUUAAAGCUU